GCCCUUUACUCGGGGAUAGCCUUUCGAAAGAAAGAUUAAUACCAGAUAGUAUAAUGAUUCCGCAUGGUUUCAUUAUUAAAGGAUUCCGGUAAAGGAUGGGGAUGCGUUCCAUUAGGUUGUUGGUGAGGUAACGGCUCACCAAGCCUUCGAUGGAUAGGGGUCCUGAGAGGAAGGUCCCCCACAUUGGAACUGAGACACGGUCCAAACUCCUACGGGAGGCAGCAGUGAGGAAUAUUGGUCAAUGGGCGCUAGCCUGAACCAGCCAAGUAGCGUGAAGGAUGAAGGCUCUAUGGGUCGUAAACUUCUUUUAUAUAAGAAUAAAGUGCAGUAUGUAUACUGUUUUGUAUGUAUUAUAUGAAUAAGGAUCGGCUAACUCCGUGCCAGCAGCCGCGGUAAUACGGAGGAUCCGAGCGUUAUCCGGAUUUAUUGGGUUUAAAGGGAGCGUAGGUGGACUGGUAAGUCAGUUGUGAAAGUUUGCGGCUCAACCGUAAAAUUGCAGUUGAUACUGUCAGUCUUGAGUACAGUAGAGGUGGGCGGAAUUCGUGGUGUAGCGGUGAAAUGCUUAGAUAUCACGAAGAACUCCGAAAGGGAAGGCAGCUCACUGGACUGCAACUGACACUGAUCCUUAAAGGUGUGGGUAUCAAACAGG
rnacentral:rRNA from 1 species